GGCUUAUUAGUGUAGUGGUUAGCACGUGGGAUUUUGACCAUACAUUUGAUCUUCCUGAGUCGCAGGUUCGAGCCCUGCAUAAGCCU